rnacentral:lncRNA from 1 species
ACAAGUUGCGGAGUUAACCCAACGUUUGGCGGAACAGGAGUUCGGUAAUCAUGAUGUGGAAGGUCACGAUUCCGAUACCAGUUUCGAAAACCCGUAUCACCAUCGUGCUCGAGUUUGGGAGCAUCGUGGACGGGAGGAUCGUCAUGUAGAUCUCGAUUUCAGAGUGGAUCUGCCCGAGUUUUCUGGUACGUUGCAGGCUGAAGGAUUUAUUGAUUGGUUGAAUGAAGUGGAGC